rnacentral:rRNA from 1 species
ACCCGACUCCAUGAAGCUGGAUUCGCUAGUAAUCGCGCAUCAGCCACGGCGCGGUGAAUACGUUCCCGGGCCUUGUACACACCGCCCGUCAAGCCAUGGAAGCCGGGAGUGCCUGAAGUGCGUGAGCGCAAGCAGCGCCCUAAGGUAAAACCGGUGACUGGGGCUAAGUCGUAACAAGGUACC